rnacentral:lncRNA from 1 species
UUAAGAAUUACGUUUGGAUAAGCUCUUUUAAGUCUCAUAAGAACAGUUAAGCAGGUCUUUCCCCUCAAGUUAUGUAGAAAGGGGAAACAUUCAGUAGUUUUGAUCCAGUCAGUCUGACUCCAAACUCAAAAUGACUGACUAUGGACUACUAUCUCUAAUUCACAGAUUCUCCAAUGAAAGCUCAAGAGGAGAGAAUACAAAACAAGAACGGCAGAAGGUCCAUUGCAGCACCUAUUAGGCAAACAGAAUGGGCUCUAUCCUUUCAUACCAGAGGGAGAAGACCUGGCAGUGUUUCCCGUCUAUUUAAAUGCCUAGAACUCAGUCACACGGCUGCCCCCUGGACUGGAAGACCAUCAGACAUACUGUUAACCAAGCAUUUGGAUUCCAUUCUUUUUCCAGUACUGUAGUAAAAUUACAGAUGUUCUUUCCAUUUUAACUGCUAAGCCCUUUAACAUCUGCUCGCUCUCGUGUAUUACUUGGACAAGACCUCGCCAUGCAUCAUCAAC